GGGGCUGAUUCUGGAUUCGACGGGAUUUGCGAAACCCAAGGUGCAUGCCGAGGGGCGGUUGGCCUCGUAAAAAGCCGCAAAAAAAUAGUCGCAAACGACGAAAACUACGCUUUAGCAGCUUAAUAACCUGCUUAGAGCUCUCUCUCCCUAGCCUCCGCUCUUAGGACGGGGAUCAAGAGAGGUCAAACCCAAAAGAGAUCGCGCGGAUGCCCUGCCUGGGGUUGAAGCGUUAAAACGAAUCAGGCUAGUCUGGUAGUGGCGUGUCCGUCCGCAGGUGCCAGGCGAAUGUAAAGACUGACUAAGCAUGUAGUACCGAGGAUGUAGGAAUUUCGGACGCGGGUUCAACUCCCGCCAGCUCCACCA
rnacentral:tmRNA from 1 species